rnacentral:misc_RNA from 1 species
AGAAUAUAGAAAAAGGAACAAAAGAAUUAGAAAAAGUUGAAGAAGUUUAGAAAACUUAGGAAAAUAAUUUUAAACAAUUCCAGGGGGCAAAGCCAAAGUAUGGAAAUUAAAUUAAAUAUAAACGUGACAAAUGAAGUCAAUUGCCGUACUGUACCGAAAAGACGAGUUAACGAAGGUUCGCACGAAGCUGGAAACACGAGCUACAAUCCGUCGAGGAUUUUCCUUCGGCGUUUUCCAGGGAUCCUUGCUCCGCACCACGAAUUUAUCGUCCCUCCACACAACGGACGUCAACGUAAAUCGUGGCUGAAUGACCCAAAAUAAACUUGGCGGGGGAACGGAGCGCGCUUGGUGUCUACCGCAUUGGGGCCAUAAUUUAGCGCUAACCAAUAUCGCCUAACCAAGAAGCGGCUGAAUAUUGCGUUCCAAAGAUAACACUGAAAUUUGUAAGCUUUAUCGGCAUUCUUUCGCAAUCUACCUACCUCGCACUCGUUGUUCUAAUCUCUCGUUGUCGCCAGUUACCGGUUGUUUUCGCAUUUCGUGCCAAAUUCAUCGUCAAACCGCGCGAAAAUAUU